UAUAUUUGUCGAACUCUCGAUCUCUGUUGCUCUUCAUCGAUCUGUCGCUGGAGAGCUUUGAUUAGUCUCUUCAUCGAACUUGAACUCAAACUCGAUCUGUUCUUCAUCAAAUCGCAGAUCCAAAAUCGAUAUCAUUCUCGAACCAGAUCGAUCUCUGUUGCUCUUAUCUUAGGUAUAAUUUUCAUUUUCUUAAUCGAUGUUCGAGUUUGAACCAGAUCGAUCUCUGUUGGUCUACUUUCUCAUUGUCAAAUCUGCUGAUUAACUCUCUAAUUUUUUCAUUUUAAGAUUAAAUCAGAUCAGAUCGUUGAACCAGGUCAUAACUUUACGCUAACAGCUAGUUUUGAAGGUUUAAAUGCUUCAAGCUAUGAUGCUCUUGUGAUCCCGGGAGGCAGAGCUCCAGAAUACCUAGCAUUGAAUGAGUCAGUUAUUAAAUUAAUGAAGGAAUUCAUGGAGGUUGGAAAGCCAGUAGCAUCAAUCUGCUAUGGACAGUAGAUUUUGUCUGCUGCUAGUGCUCUCAAGGGCAAGAAAUGUACUGCAUACCCUGCAGUGAAACUCAACGUGGUCUUAGGUAGGGCAACAUGGUUAGAACCUGAUCCAAUAAGUCGAAUCUGGUAACUGGAGCAGCAUGGCCAGGUCACCCUGAGCUCAUUUCUCAGCUAAUGGUGUUGCUUGGUGUCCGGAUGAAGUGAAUCAAUCCAUCAUCAUAAGUGGGGAAAGUGGAGCUGGGAAAACAGAAACAGCAAAAAUUGCAAUGCAAUACUUGGCUGCUCUUGGUGGCAGUGGUGGGGUAGAAAGCGAAAUCCUUCAGACAAGCUACAUUCUAGAAGCAUUUGGGAAUGCAAAAACAUCCAGGAAUGACAAUUCUAGCCGAUUUGGGAAGUUGAUUGAGAUUCAUUUUAGUGCAAUUGGGAAAAUAUGUGGCGCUCAAAUCCAGACUUUUCUGCUUGAAAAGUCAAGAGUGGUUCAGCUCGCUCAUGGAGAAAGGUGAUACCAUAUCUUUUACCAACUUUGUGCUGGUGCUCCGUCUGGCCUCAAAGGAAGCCUUAGAUACUGUUCGACUUUGCAAAGAAGACCAAGACAAUGCGUUUGAAAUGCUUGCUGUAGUGUUGUGGCUGGGAAACAUAUCAUUUCAAGUAAUUGACAAUGAAAAUCAUGUAGAGGUGGUGGCUGAUGAAGGUAGCUUGCCUAGUACAUCAUCGAGUACUGGUUCAACACAUGACACUACUGCUGGUGGAAUGGUGAGAGAUGCUUUGUGGAGAGUGCUUUUGUCGCUGAUAUUUUCAAUAUAAUUGGUGAGAAAUGCAAUUAACUUGGAGUUUUCAGACUACAAGAGGUUGAUAAACAAUAGCAUUGUGCUACAAAACAUCAGAUUUUGCAGAAAUGUUUUUGCUGGUCGUUGCUUUCGGCUUAAUAGCAAGUGACGAAUAUAGUGCACAGUGCACAACAGAAUUGGGAGACGCAAAAUCUGAAAAUUGCUGCUCUUACCAAAGAUAUGAUUUGAUUGCUCCCUAAGUCCGGAGCGAUUUAGGAAACACAGAUGAUACUUUUUUUUCAUUUUUUUGUAAAUCACAGCUGUUUUGUUUUUCAAGUUACUUUGUAAUUAGCUAGAAAUGAACUACAUGUUUUGGAUAAUAGAGUCAAUGAUACUGUGUUGUUAUGGGGCAGAGAUCCAGAUAUACUUUGUUGUUGGGUAUAAUUACUGAUGUUGAAUAAGGGCUGAACAACCCAUAGAGAUCAAGAGAUUGAUG